CCUGUAGCUCAAUUGGAUAGAGCGUCUGGCUACGGACCAGAAGGUUGCAGGUUCAAGUCCUACCAGGUGC
rnacentral:tRNA from 1 species